rnacentral:rRNA from 1 species
UGCGUAGGCGGCGCGGUAAGUCGGGUGUGAAAUCUCGGAGCUUAACUCCGAAACUGCAUUCGAUACUGCCGUGCUUGAGGACUGGAGAGGAGACUGGAAUUUACGGUGUAGCGGUGAAAUGCGUAGAUAUCUGGAGGAACACCGGUGGCGAAGGCGGCAUCCUGGACCAACACUGACGCUGAGGAGCGAAAGCCAGGGAGCAAACG